rnacentral:rRNA from 1 species
GGAGCAUGUGGUUUAAUUCGACGAUACGCGAAGAACCUUACCUGGACUUGACAUAGUAAGAACUUUCUAGAGAUAGAUUGGUGCCUGCUUGCAGAAACUUAUAUACAGGUGCUGCACGGCUGUCGUCAGCUCGUGUCGUGAGAUGUUGGGUUAAGUCCCGCAACGAGCGCAACCCUCGUCGUUAGUUGCUAACAGUUCGGCUGAGAACUCUAACGAGACUGCCUACGCAAGUAGGAGGAAGGUGAGGACGACGUCAAGUCAUCAUGGCCCUUACGUCCAGGGCUACACACGUGCUACAAUGGGGUAUACAAAGAGCAGCAAUACGGUGACGUGGAGCAAAUCUCAAAAAUAUCUCCCAGUUCGGAUUGUAGUCUGCAACUCGACUACAUGAAGUUGGAAUCGCUAGUAAUCGUAGAUCAGCUAUGCUACGGUGAAUACGUUCCCGGGUCUUGUACUCACCGCCCGUCACACCAUGGGAGUUGAACUCAUUCGAAGCGGGGAUGCUAAGAUAGCUACCUUCCACAGUGGAUUCAGCGACUGGGGUGAAGUCGUAACAAGGUAACCUAC